rnacentral:rRNA from 1 species
AGAGUUUAAUCAUGGCUCAGGAUGAACGCUAGCGGCAGGCCUAACACAUGCAAGUCGAGGGGCAUCACGGUGUAGCAAUACACUGGUGGCGACCGGCGCACGGGUGCGUAACGCGUAUUCAACCUACCCAUAACAGGGGGAUAACACUGAGAAAUUGGUACUAAUACCCCAUAACAUCAGGACCGGCAUCGGUUCUGGUUGAAAACUCCGGUGGUUAUGGAUGGGCAUGCGUUGUAUUAGCUGGUUGGUG